AAAUGUGUACCAAUUCUGACCAAAGAGAUGUGAGGAAAAGUUUCCUGCAGAUUUCUGGAAAGAUUUUCCUCAAAGAUAAAAAUGGGAAGCUCCGCCCUUUCUCCACCGUCCACAAAGAAUGAAGCCUAAACUCCAGUGCCACUGUUGACAAUAACCAUGAGGUCAUUCAACCUUAGGAGAAAACCACAUUGCUGGUAACCAAGUGAAAAGGGAGAAUUUCACAGUGCGAAUUUUGAACUCCGCUUGGGAACCUCUUUGAAGAUCAGCCAGAAGAUGAUGGAAGUGCAAAUAACAUGCAGAAGCUCACGGCUGUCCUUCUGUAGUUCAUGCUGAGCCGGCAGUCAUUCUCCCAACGUGACAGAAGUCAGAUUACCCUGAGCAUCAGCCUUUUACAGCACAGAACAUGGGACUUCAUUAAAUCUCAGCAUUUACAUAUUCAUGAAGUACCUGUGAGUUUGGACAGAGAAGAUGCCUAUAUCAGACAGAGUAAGGUUUGAUGGGGUAAAUAUUUAGCAUGUGGCCAAGCAUGAUGUGGCCACAGUGGGCUUCUCCCUUCUUCUGAAAGGCCUCGACACUACUAAGACAGUAGUAGGGUCGAGGCUAAGAAAGGCCUCGACACUACUCUGGGAAUACCAAAGGACAGCUUGUUGAGUGAAGUGUAAGUAUCCAGUCACUAAGGCAGUGACAUGAAGCUGAUCUCUUGAUUGAGUCCCAAACAGCUCUGCCUGAUCUCCACAUGUUCUCUCAUCUUCUUCAUAAAUACAUUUAUAUAAUUCUUCAAGUUCCACCAAAUAGACGGAGACACACACUGACAAAAAGAUCCAUCCAGUUCUUGGUGUUGUCAGCCUGCCCGUCACAUUCCAGCAACAAACGACCUUCGGGGUCUGAGGACACCUCCCAACAGUAGCACCAGCUUCGCUGCCUUGUUCCCUCUGAACCUACAAAGCCUAAAGCUCUCAGCUUAUUUUACCCUCUAGUCCCUUCGAACUUGAGUUCUAAUGUCUUGGCCAUUGGUUUCUCUCUUCAUUUGAUUUGAAUCAUACAUGCAACUAUCAAUGUCUCUUUGUCCCCCUCAACUCAUCCUCUGACCUUGUUGGUGGUAGACAACUCCCCAUGAAUCCCUCAUGUUUCUGCCCAUCUUGUGACAUCAUUUGUCUGGAAUAGCUUUUCGAGGAUGUUUGUGUAGCAAAUAGCCUUGGAAAUAUAGUAUUUCCCCUCAGUGCAGAGGGCAGAUUUCUUUGCCGUCUAAGAUAAACACAAUGGCUUUCUCCCGAACAAAGUUUGGGCAAGUCUGCUAGUGGCACUUUAAUAAGAUGGAGGGUCCUAGGCUCAUAGUUCCUUAGCUGUGCAGGUAGGGUCCUCCUGGGUCUGCUUCUGCAUCAUUCCCAUAGAGCCUGGGGCAAGGAGA